rnacentral:misc_RNA from 1 species
UUAAUAAAAAUCGGCGUGUUGCUCUUUUGUGACGUUCCGGAGUUUGGGUCAUCUUAUAACAACACCCUUUUUCAGGGUAUUUUUAAGAGGCUUAAAAUUGACCUUUUUUGCGCAUUUUUAGACGUACAUAAAUUUUUUUUAUUUGUUUAUUCUAAUGCCAAAAUCUAUUAGAUGCGACCAUAUCAUGUGGUUCCGUGUCUAUAAAUUUUUCAUG